rnacentral:rRNA from 1 species
UACUCGAGUGGCGAACGGGUGAGUAACACGUGGGUGAUCUGCCCUGCACUUCGGGAUAAGCCUUGGAAACUGGGUCUAAUACCGGAUAGGAGCCAUUUUUAGUGUGAUGGUUGGAAAGUUUUUUCGGUGUAGGAUGAGCUCGCGGCCUAUCAGCUUGUUGGUGGGGUAAUGGCCUACCAAGGCGGCGACUGGUAGCCGGCCUGAGAGGGUGGACGGCCACAUUGGGACUGAGAUACGGCCCAG